rnacentral:lncRNA from 1 species
GAUGAAUUGAAUCAUAACACCAUAAUUAGAGACACCCAGAUAGGAAAUAACAAAAAAGCAAAUCAAACACCAAGGAAUGAACUCAUUCACAACACCAGAAAGAAUUACUUUUCACAUUAAUUUUUUUCUAAAAGUUUGGAGUACAGGAAACCUAUCAAAGAACAGAGGACCAUUGACAACAUCACCAACAAUCUUGAUCAAUCGUACCCCUAGUUACAGAGACAGAGCCUUAUCAACACUCAUCUAAAGCAGCAACCCAGUGAAAGUUAAAGCCCCAAUACCUACAAAUCUCCAGAAACCCAAUGAAUAAAGGAGCCUCAUUUUCCAGGUCGCCACUCAGAAAUCCAAUCUUCGGUUCUUCACAGUAUACCCCUACCUACAGUCCUACAUUGACAUUAACUGAGCCAUAUCUACAGAACUCACAGUAAAACUCCGCAACAUCUGAGAGAAAUCAACGCCCCAAAACUUCAAAUCGCUCCAAACCCAGAAAUGAAGGAGUUGCCACUUUGAAAAAUCGGAACUUGAAUUAAAUAACAUAGCCAUUAGAACCUAAAAUCCACAAUGCCUGAUUGCCUGCAUCAAAAUUCUCCACCUUCUUCACCUUGUUGUAAAUCAGGCCUGGGUAACCAGAAAAGGGUAACUUUCAAUCAAAGACUCAAGAACAUGACUUUCUUGAUGAACUCUAGAACAAGAAGAAAAGAGAAGUCCAAGAAGCAAACUUACAGGCUUGUGGAAUUGAGUUUGGCCUCAAGAAGAUCACCCACUGGAUUGCUGAAAACUGGAAAAGGGUUCUGAAAAAUCCCCUGUUUCUUCUUCUUCUUCUUCUGGGUUGGAUUCUUUCAGGUUGUCCUUGGACCCUCUUGGCCUUCCUGUUAUUCUUUCUCUUGAUGGAAUUUGGUUUGGGCUUCUUGAUUGCACACCUGCCGCUCUUUGUCAGCUCCGUCGUGAUGGUCAUGAUGGACGGUGGACUAGUUUGUGCUUUGCGGAAAGAACAGAGGUCUUGUGAGGAAGAAGAGAGUUUUGGCAGGAACAAUUACAAAGGAGGGUUAAGAGGUAGAGAGAGAGAAUCAAAGAGAGUUGGGUCAGGUUUGAGAGAGAAUCGGAUUGAAGAGAGAAAUGAGUUUUGAGAGUGAAUUGAAAGAUUACAAAGGGGAGAGCGAGAGGAGGCGGGAAGUAGCUAACUGAAAGAUAACGGAAACUCUUCGGCUUCGU